UACAGAGGGGGCAAGCGUUGUUCGGAAUUACUGGGCGUAAAGGGCGCGUAGGCGGCCUGCUAAGUCGAACGUGAAAUCCCCGGGCUCAACCCGGGAACUGCGUCCGAUACUGGUUGGCUUGAAUCCGGGAGAGGGAUGCGGAAUUCCAGGUGUAGCGGUGAAAUGCGUAGAUAUCUGGAGGAACACCGGUGGCGAAGGCGGCAUCCUGGACCGGCAUUGACGCUGAGGAGCGAAAGCCAGGGGAGCAAACGGG
rnacentral:rRNA from 1 species